GUGCUGGUCAGAUGAAGGAAGAGCAGGAAAGCGGAAGUCAGAGAGUCAGCUGACUGCCACUGUUUUCCUCUGGGCUCUUGUAGGGGCCACCAGGGGCUGUGGGAGGCACAAGUUCCUGAAAUAGCUUAUUUGAAUGCCCUGAAAGGAACCUGAGUAUAGGACAGAGUAGAAGGCCUCAGAGCACAGCGGUGGUAUGAUGACAGGCGUGCAUAAACUGGUACUGAGCUGGACUGCUCUCGGUGUAGGGCAUGCUGCUCUAUUAUGCUUUUUUUUUUUUAAGCUUUAAUUUUUUGACAGGAUUUCUUGCAGCCCAGAUUGACCUUUGACUUGCUAUGUAGCUGGAGAUGACCUUGAACUCCUGCUUCUCCUGCCUUUACCUCCUGAGUGCUAUGGUUUGAGGGCCGUGUACUUGGAUGAUCCUUGGCUCUGGAAGGAGGAGGAAGACUCUGUGGAGUAAGAAGAAGGUGGAUGUUUUCUUGGUCAGUUUCACUGUUAUGCAGCCAGGCUUUGAAGAAGACCUCCAUGCUGACAACAUCGUUGUCUAGCGUCUCAAGGACAAUGUCAGCUUCCAGGAUAGAACUCUCUGCAGAAGAAAGGGAGGUUGUGGUUAAAGUGGGUUUUUUUUUCAAUCUUAAUAUUUAUUUAUUUAAAGGUUUUCUCCCCAGGGGGAGGCUGGGACGGUGACUGAACUGUUAUGAGUCUGUACUGCUCUUGCAGAGGACCUGAGUUCAAUUCCUAGCAUCUAUAUCAUUUGGCACACAACUACCUGUAACUCCCGUCCCUGGGAUCUGAUGUUCUCUCGUCUAAACUCUAAGGGUACCUGAACUCACACAUGCAAACAGGUGUAAUUAAAAAUUAAAAAAAAUAAGUCUUCACAAUUAUUUAAAAA